GACAUAGGUGGCGAACGUUAUCCGGAAUUACUGGGCGUAAAGCGAGUGUAGGUGGUUGUCCAAGUUGGAUGUGAAAGCCUUGAGCUCAACUCAAGAAAUGCAUUCAGGACUGGAUGACUAGAGGACCGGAGAGGAUAGUGGAAUUCCCAGUGUAGUGGUGAAAUACGUAGAGAUUGGGAAGAACACCAGUGGCGAAGGCGGCUAUCUGGACGGUUUCUGACACUAAGACUCGAAAGCGUGGGGAGCAAACAGG
rnacentral:rRNA from 1 species